rnacentral:rRNA from 1 species
UACGUAGGGUGCAAGCGUUGUCCGGAAUUAUUGGGCGUAAAGAGCUCGUAGGCGGUUUGUCGCGUCGGCUGUGAAAACUCGGGGCUCAACCCCGAGCCUGCAGUCGAUACGGGCAAACUAGAGUGUGGUAGGGGAGACUGGAAUUCCUGGUGUAGCGGUGAAAUGCGCAGAUAUCAGGAGGAACACCGGCGGCGAAGGCGGGUCUCUGGGACAUAACUGACGUUGAGGAGCGAAAGCGUGGGGAGCGAACAGG